rnacentral:lncRNA from 1 species
UGAUUGUAUGCACGCAGCAUCUUCAACGAGUUGGAGUCGCAGGACAAGCUGAAAGUCGGGUUUUGGAACGUAAGAGGUGGAAUACUUAUUGCCGCCGCCGACUCGUUCAGCCGGUUGAAAACACGGCACUCUUACUUACGUCUUGGGGAGGGGCGGGCGGGGCCGGUCCUUUUCAUGUUCAACAUCGUACUCCUGUUCAACUUUUAUGGGCCUCUCAUCUGCAUCGGCGUCUCGUCGUGGCGUCUCAGGCAACGUGAUUACCACGGCCACGGCGCAGAUGAUAGAGGAGCGAACCUGAUGGGCGGGCUGGACUUUUUCUACACCCUGGUUCUUUGUCAAGGUGUGCUCUACUGCUUCUUGCUAUUCCUUGCCUUGUCCGAGAUCAUUCUCCAACUUAACUUCUCCCGGCAAUGCAAGUUCCUAGACGUGUGGGGCACGAACAGAGUAGAUGCAUACCUCCGGGACACACGAGAGAGAUGCGAGCGGGACCCUGCUGUGCUUGCUGCUGAGGAGCCGAGCUUCCUCAUCCACGCAGUUAGGCUGCUGGAGUCUGAGUCGCAGCAAGACUACCUCUCUGGAGCAAGGAUGCUCUACUUACUCAUCAACGACGGGGAAGAUGCAGGAAGCAUCAUCCUUCGCUCCAGGCCUAAGAUACAGAGGCUGCUCGACAUGCUGGUGUGGACAAGCAGAGCCGGCAACACGGAGAUCAGAAUGCUCGCCGCGGCGAUCGUUGCGGAUCUCGCCGGAGGCAUCCAGCUGUCCCAGUUCCCCGGAGCAAUCCGGUGCGUGUCAUCCUUGCUCGAAUCCACCGGCCAGAACCCACUCUGGAGCAAUGAUCAGCACCAGGAGCUAUCAUCGGCUGAAAUAAAAUGCCUGUACACUGCUUGUAGAAAUGCAGAAAUGGAGAAGAAUUACCGUGAGCUAAUCAGUCGAAUAACAAGGACGACCAAGCUAGAAACAGGCGAUGAGGGAGUAGUUGACGGUGUGGAGCAGAACGGCAACAGUACCGAAGAAGAACUAGGCUGCAACGAGCUCAUCCUGCAGGGCCUCAGGAUUCUCGAGGGCCUCGCCUGCGACGCGCACAACUGCACGGACAUCUGUGGUGAUCCGGACAUACUCGCCAAGAUCACGGCGCCGCUCUACUCGACCUCGCUGAUCCAUGACAUCGGCAGCAGUGAGCCGUGGGCCGACGUAGUGAACGGCUCGCUCAAAGUGGUGCGCAAGCUCCUCAUCCACGCCACUCCUCGCACAAGCCUUCGCCAUGAAAUCCUUUCUAACGAACAGGCGAUGAGCAACCUGGAAAGCAUUCUUCAUCUUCAAAGCAAAGCAGCCGAAGCUGUCGGCCAAGAACUGCAGAUGCGAGCCAUGGAGAUCCUCACCCAGCUAGUCUUCCAUUCUUCUUCUGUCAACAUCAUCAGUGAAAAAAGAGUAAAAAGCCUCGUCAAUAAGCAGCUGGAGAUCUUCCUUCCUCACGGAGGGGAAGGAACUGAAGAUAACAAGUCCAAGAGUGAAGCUGCUGAUAGCAAGAGGACUCUGAAGGCUACAGCUGGGGAGACACUAGUGUCAAUCUUGUCUAAGUGUGACGAAGCUACCUCUAUGUUUAUAACAAAAGAACAUGAUGAUGUAGUCGAUCGUCUCACUGGGAUGCUUGAUGCCAAGUGCAACAUCAGGUACAGAAUAUUGUCAGCUAACAUCUUGGAGAACCUUUGUACCCGCUGCAAUGAACACGUCAACGAAACUUUGCUGCAAAAGGUCCUCACUGAAAUACUGAGAACACCCACAACUGAAGCAUCAGAAAGCACCACUUCUGCACCGGGAGGCAAUGUAGAGAUCCAGAAAAAAAAAUCACAGGGGAACGACGUGGAGAAGCAAAUGCAAUGUUCAAAUGCAUCUCAAGGCAAAAAGGAAGAUCAAAAAGCAAAUGUUAGUUCCAAAAAAGAAGGUCAGCAAGCAAAUAUUAGUUCCAAAAAACAAGAUCAGCAAACAAAUGAUAGUUCCAAAGAAGAAGAUCAACACGCAAAUGAGGACGACAAAGCCGAUAUGAAGGAACUGCUGGAAGCUCAGCUAUCCCUGACCUUGGUGUUACGUGAACAAUUGUUCCGUGCAGAAAGCUCUACUCCUGUGAUCCAAGAGAAUGACCCAGAUGACGAAUUCGUGAAGAAGCUCAGGACUAUUGUAGACGACAACUGCAGUCAGGCGACGCCUGUUUCUCUCAGGAUCAUCAAGCUCUGCAGCCAGAUUGUUGCAUCGAUUAUGCGGCGCAGCGGCUGCGCUAGCGAUGAGAGAAAGGGAUUCGUGGAGUCAUUUUCCAAGGCUUCGAAAGCCAUGUCUAACCUUGAAAGCUGCAUGCUUUUCGCUGGGGCUGACAGUGAUCUGAAGAAGACGGCCAGGCCUCUCCUCUCUGUUCUUGAGACAGAACUGAAAAGGCUUGCUGCCUAA